rnacentral:rRNA from 1 species
CGCAGGCGGCUUCGGAAGUCAUGGGUGAAAGCCCCAGGCUCAACCUGGGAAUGGCCUGUGAAACCACGGAGCUAGAGUGCUGGAGAGGAAAGCGGAAUUCCCAGUGUAGCGGUGAAAUGCGUAGAUAUUGGGAGGAACAUCUGUGGCGAAGGCGGCUUUCUGGACAGACACUGACGCUGAGGCGCGAAAGCUAGGGGAGCGAACG